rnacentral:rRNA from 1 species
UAAAGCACUUAGCCAUAGCACAUUUCAGUCGUGAGGAAGGUGGUGUUGUUAAUAGCAGCAUCAUUUGACGUUAGCGACAGAAGAAGCACCGGCUAACUCCGUGCCAGCAGCCGCGGUAAUACGGAGGGUGCGAGCGUUAAUCGGAAUUACUGGGCGUAAAGCGCAUGCAGGUGGUUUGUUAAGUCAGAUGUGAAAGCCCGGGGCUCAACCUCGGAAUAGCAUUUGAAACUGGCAAGCUAGAGUACUGUAGAGGGGGGUAGAAUUUCAGGUGUAGCGGUGAAAUGCGUAGAGAUCUGAAGGAAUACCGGUGGCGAAGGCGGCCCCCUGGACAGAUACUGACACUCAGAUGCGAAAGCGUGGGGAGCAAACAGGAUUAGAUACCCUGGUAGUCCACGCCGUAAACGAUGUCUACUUGGAGGUUGUGGCCUUGAGCCGUGGCUUUCGGAGCUAACGCGUUAAGUAGACCGCCUGGGGAGUACGGUCGCAAGAUUAAAACUCAAAUGAAUUGACGGGGGNCCGCACAAGCGGUGGAGCAUGUGGUUUAAUUCGAUGCAACGCGAAGAACCUUACCUACUCUUGACAUCUACAGAAUCCUGCGGAGACGCNGGAGUGCCUUCGGGAACUGUAAGACAGGUGCUGCAUGGCUGUCGUCAGCUCGUGUUGUGAAAUGUUGGGUUAAGUCCCGCAACGAGCGCAACCCUUAUCCUUGUUUGCCAGCGAGUCAUGUCGGGAACUCCAGGGAGACUGCCGGUGAUAAAGAUUCGACCGGAGGAAGGUGGGGACGACGUCAA